UACGUAGGGUGCGAGCGUUGUCCGGAAUUAUUGGGCGUAAAGGGCUCGUAGGCGGUCUGUCGCGUCGGGAGUGAAAACUCAGGGCUUAACCCUGAGCCUGCUUCCGAUACGGGCAGACUAGAGGUAUGCAGGGGAGAACGGAAUUCCUGGUGUAGCGGUGAAAUGCGCAGAUAUCAGGAGGAACACCGGUGGCGAAGGCGGAUCUCUGGGCCGUAACUGACGCUGAGGAGCGAAAGCAUGGGGAGCGAACAGG
rnacentral:rRNA from 1 species